AUGUAUAAGUAGAGGCUAUAUGUUGUAAUGACUGAAAUCCCCUAUAUUUAUUCUUUACCACUAUUUCUUAUGGAAAAAUUUCUUGUGGCCUAUGUAUUCUCAGUUUGUGCACAUUUCUGAAAAGCAUCUCCCUUGGGUAUAACCGGGGAAUGCCUACUCAUGUUUUGUUAAGUUCUAAGUUCUGGCCUGCAUGCACUUCUUCCAUUGUUCUGGUGCUCAGGGCUUCCAUACAGAUGGUGAGUGUUAUCAGGCCCACAUUUUAGUUGCACCUUCAGAAGAUUUGUCAUUUUCUGUUACAGGUGGACACUUCUAUGGAUAUCUAUAAUACACAUUGGUAGUAAUCUAUGUAGUUCAUCCCAUGGCAUAAAAUGGUUACCUUCUAAACAAUAGAGAAAAAAGAAUCCCCUUGUUUAGUGAAGAUGAGAGAUAGGUUGGAUCCCUAUUGAAUUAUCAAUUCAAUUGUGACCAAAUUACUACAGAUAGAGUAGACCAGGCGUGUUCCUACUGGGUGUGUCAUAAUUAUGGAAGAGACAUUAAGAAAUUAUCCAGGGUAAGGGUUAUUUCUGUUUCUUGAUGAUUCAGGUACAUCUAGUUACACCCGUAGCCCAGAAACACCAAACAUGUUUGUAUGCUGGUUUUGUGUGGAGCUGGAAGGCCUCCAAGUAACGUGCAAGUGGCAAUAAUCCCUUGAGUGUUGUGUUGCUUCACUGACUUCUUAGUCAUUCUUUGGAAACAUUCUUUGGAGUCCUCUAAAGUCACCAGUGACCUCCUUCUAAUCUAGACAAGUCCACAGUCCCUGAGUGGAGAAGUCUCCAAGGACAGAGAGAGGUGAUGCAUGAGAUGGAAAGCACCUGAGUCAUCACUCAAAGAAAAGCCACCUAAUGGAGGUACACAACCAUUGAGGACUAUAUGAGGGAAAUAAAAAAGAAACCAACUGAAGAGUGGUAAAGUGACAUGACUUUUGCUGAGCAACACUUUUAAUUCAUUUUUUUCAGCAUUGAUUGAAUUAUCCACAUGUUUACUUUUG